AUGGUCUGGGGGAAGGCUCCCAUGCAGUUGAACCUGCCCUGUUGCGGGUGCAGCCCUGCCCCAACCUCAGGUCAACUCCCAGGAGAAGUUUCUCCAGGGUUUUGAGUUCGCAGUAAUGGGUGUGACCAUUCUAGCCGCAGCUUGAUGAUCAUGUAUGACUUCAAAAGACA